rnacentral:rRNA from 1 species
CAGUCGCCGCGGUAAUACGUAGGCAGCGAGCGUUGUUCGGAAUUACUGGGCGUAAAGAGUGUGUAGGCGGUGCUCUAAGUUCGGUGUGAAAUCUCCUGGCUUAACUGGGAGGGUGCGCCGGAAACUGGAAUGCUCGAACGUGGGAGAGGAAAGCGGAAUUCCUGGUGUAGCGGUGAAAUGCGUAGAUAUCAGGAGGAACACCUGCGGUGUAGACGGCUUUCUGGACCAUUGUUGACGCUGAGACACGAAAGCGUGGGUAGCAAACAGGAUUAGAUACCCCUGUAGUCCCUGUCUCUUAUAC